GCCUCAGUAACGGCGAGUGAAGCGGCAAGAGCUCAAAUUUGAAAGCUGGCCCCCUUGGGGUCCGCAUUGUAAUUUGCAGAGGAUGCUUCGGGAGUGGCCCCCAUCUAAGUGCUCUGGAACGGGCCGUCAUAGAGGGUGAGAAUCCCGUAUGGGAUGGGGUGUCCGCGACCAUGUGAAGCUCCUUCGACGAGUCGAGUUGUUUGGGAAUGCAGCUCUAAAUGGGUGGUAAAUUUCAUCUAAAGCUAAAUAUUGGCCGGAGACCGAUAGCGCACAAGUAGAGUGAUCGAAAGAUGAAAAGCACUUUGAAAAGAGAGUUAAAAAGCACGUGAAAUUGUUGAAAGGGAAGCGCUUGCGACCAGACUCGCCUGCGGGGUUCAGCCGGUAUUCGUACCGGUGUACUUCCCCGUGGGCGGGCCAGCGUCGGUUUGGGCGGCCGGUCAAAGGCCCUCGGAAUGUAACGCCUCUCGGGGCGUCUUAUAGCCGAGGGUGCCAUGCGGCCAGCCCGGACCGAGGAACGCGCUUCGGCACGGACGCUGGCAUAAUGGUCGUAAGCGACCCGUCUUGAAACACGGACCAAGGAGUCUAACAUCUACGCGAGUGUUCGGGUGUCAAACCCGUGCGCGCAGUGAAAGCGAACGGAGGUGGGAACCCUCACGGGUGCACCAUCGACCGAUCCUGAAGUCUUCGGAUGGAUUUGAGUAAGAGCGUAGCUGUUGGGACCCGAAAGAUGGUGAACUAUGCCUGAAUAGGGCGAAGCCAGAGGAAACUCUGGUGGAGGCUCGCAGCGGUUCUGACGUGCAAAUCGAUCGUCAAAUUUGGGUAUAGGGGCGAAAGACUAAUCGAACCAUCU
rnacentral:rRNA from 1 species